UCCCCCUUCUAUUUUCUACAAAAUUAUCUAUUACAUCAAAUCACAUUAGUAUCAAAGCUAGGUUACUACAAUCUCAAUUUUAAAAAUUCCAAGCAAUUAAUCUCCACCAGAUCUUAGAUGAGCUUAUCCUAGCUAAAAAAUAGGAGUGAAGCUUCCCUUUUUAUUUUACGUCGGAGUCAUAUCAUACCAUGAUCCUAGUUGAUUUAGUGAAAUCCACAUCGAUAAUCUCAUCCAAACUGUUCGAAUUGAAGAGAAUCAAAGGGAUUGCUUUCGUGGUUGAUGCUCAUCAUGUUCACUCACCCCAAUGUCAUGUUUGCCACAAGCUUUCAUGGCUUCACAAUCACUUACCUUUCGCCAUUGGAUGCACGAAGAAGAGCUCCAUGACAUUUUCUUUCAUCUUCGACCGUCAAGAGCUU
rnacentral:lncRNA from 1 species